rnacentral:miRNA from 1 species
CCUCCCCAAAUCUAUGGGCUGCUGCCCCCCUCCCCAAAUCUAUGGACUGCUGCCCCGGGGGGGGGCAGCAGUCCAUAGAUUUGGGGAGGGGGGCAGCAGCCCAUAGAUUUGGGGAGGGGG